UGCAUUGUAUCCAAUCCAGAUGGUCUUUUUACCUGAUUAUAUUGAGUUCUUUCAGUACAAAGCACGUAAACAGGCAUCUUCAGGAUUAGCCUCCUUUGUUCCAACAAAUAAUAGCAUGACUUGUGUCUCCCAAUCUUCACCUUCUGAGUCUUGGGUCAUUGAUUCAGGUGCAUUUGAUCAUAUUUCUGGUAACAAAUCUCUUUUCACUAGUAUUACAUAUUCUCAAUCUCUUCCAACAGUCACAAUGGCAAAUGAGUCUCAAGUCAUGGCAAGUGCAAUAGGUCAAGCAAGUCCACUUCCUUCCUUACCUUUAGACUUCGUUCUUUAUGUUCCAAUGGGUCUUAAGCCAUGGCAAGUGCAAUAGGUCAAGCAAGUCCAAUUCCUUCCUUACCUUUAGACUUCGUUCUUUAUGUCCCUAGGAGUCUUUUUAAUCUCAUAGCCGUUAGUCGCUUAGCCAAAUCAGUUAAAUCUAUUAUUUUAUUUCUUGAUGACCUUGUUUUUAUACAGUAACGCAGUAUGGGUCGGAUCAUUGGUACCGAACGUGAAUCAAAUGGACUUUAUUACCUUAUUUUUUGCAAAAUCACAUGGACUCGCAUCUUAUCUUUCCUCCAAUAAUUUGUCCUAUUACUGAUUCACCAGAUUUAUUAUAUAAGCUGUUAGGACAUCCCAAUUUGUCAAAACUUCAGAAAAUGGUACCUGGCUUAACUCACUUGUCCACUCUAAAGUGAGUCGUGUCAGCUCAAUAAGCAUACCCACUCCCAUUUCCCGCGGCGUCUUGAUAAUCGAGCAACGUCACCUUUUACUUUAGUCCAUUCAGAUGUUUGGGGUCCUAGUCGGCUUUUCUACCUUGGGAUUCUGCUACUUUGUCAGUUUCAUUAAUGAUUAUUUCAAGUGCACUUGGAUAUUUUUGAUGAAAAAUCAAUCUGAGUUGUUUUCAUUUUUUCAUACCUUCAUUCAAAAUCAAUUUGAGGUUUCUAU
rnacentral:lncRNA from 1 species